rnacentral:tRNA from 1 species
GGAUAUAUAGCUCAGUGGUAGAGCACCUGCUUAAUUAGCAAGUACAAAGUCUCGGGUUCAAUCCCCAGCACUUCCA